UACGGAGGGUGCGAGCGUUGUUCGGAAUCACUGGGCGUAAAGCGCGUGUAGGCGGCCCAUUAAGUCUGAUGUGAAAGCCCGGGGGCUCACCCCCCGGAAGUGCAUUGGAAACUGAUGGACUCGAGUCCCGGAGAGGAGAGUGGAAUCCUGGUGUAGCGGUGAAAUGCGCAGAUAUCAGGAGGAACACCAAUUGCGAAGGCAGCUCGCUGGGACGUUAGCUGACGCUGGAUGCGCGAAAGCGUGGG
rnacentral:rRNA from 1 species